AGCUUUGUACAGUGGCAAUAUUGUAGCCAAUGAGGUUCAUCCAAGGUGCGAUUAUUGGUAAUUGAAAACUUUUCCCAAUUCCCUGCCAUGAUGACUUGAAAUAUAAUCAGCAUUGGCAAUUUUUGUCAGUUUCUAUGGGGA
ensembl:snRNA U4 U4 spliceosomal RNA